rnacentral:lncRNA from 1 species
UGAGAUGCCCAGAGAGGCAGCGAGGGAAAAAGAGGCGGGGGCUGAAUCAGACCUGNGAGGACUCCGUUGGUCCCAUUCUGACUCUAAUCUGCUGCUCCAGAGAGAAUGGUGGAGGGAUCUGAGGAAGAAGCCAAGAGGUGCCUUUUUCAGCCACCAUAUGGAGGCUUCCUGCGCCAGAGCUACUGAGGAAAACAUUGUCCUGAUGCCUCAUUGAUAAAGANUGGAGAAUUCACCAGAAAUGUUUAGAAAUCAAUAGAUAAAAAGUCAAGGAAACAAAGAAAAAAAAUUUGAAUAGUUCCCUUCUUUCUGAGGAUAUUAAUUACUGUAAAUCUCUGAAA